rnacentral:rRNA from 1 species
AGUGAACGCUGGCGGUAGGCCUAACACAUGCAAGUCGAACGGCAGCACAGUAAGAGCUUGCUCUUACGGGUGGCGAGUGGCGGACGGGUGAGGAAUACAUCGGAAUCUACUUUUUCGUGGGGGAUAACGUAGGGAAACUUACGCUAAUACCGCAUACGACCUACGGGUGAAAGCAAGGGAUCUUCGGACCUUGCGCGAUUGAAUGAGCCGAUGUCGGAUUAGCUAGUUGGCGGGGUAAAGGCACACCAAGGCGACGAUCCGUAGCUGGUCUGAGAGGAUGAUCAGCCACACUGGAACUGAGACACGGUCCAGACUCCUACGGGAGGCAGCAGUGGGGAAUAUUGGACAAAGGGCGCAAGCCUGAUCCAGCCAUACCGCGUGGGUGAAGAAGGCCUUCGGGUUGUAAAGCCCUUUUGUUGGGAAAGAAAAGCAGCAGGUUAAUACCCCGCUGUUCUGACGGUACCCAAAGAAUAAGCACCGGCUAACUUCGUG